rnacentral:rRNA from 1 species
GACGAACGCUGGCGGCGUGCUUAACACAUGCAAGUCGAACGGAAAGGCCCUGCUUUUGUGGGGUGCUCGAGUGGCGAACGGGUGAGUAACACGUGAGUAACCUGCCCUUGACUUUGGGAUAACUUCAGGAAACUGGGGCUACUACCGGAUAGGAGCUCCUGCUGCAUGGUGGGGGUUGGAAAGUUUCGGCGGUUGGGGAUGGACUCGCGGCUGAUCAGCUUGUUGGUGGGGGAGUGGCUUACCAAGGCUUUGACGGGUAGCCGGCCUGGGAGGGUGACCGGGCACAUUGGGACUGAGAUACGGCCCAGACUCCUACGGGAGGCAGCAGUGGGGAAUAUUGCACAAUGGGCGGAAGCCUGAUGCAGCAACGCCGCGUGCGGGAUGACGGCCUUCGGGUUGUAAACCGCUUUCGCCUGUGACGAAGCGUGAGUGACGGUAAUGGGUAAAGAAGCACCGGCUAACUACGUG